UCCUCACUGUGAACCAGAACACCGGGAAAAAUCCGGAGGUUAGGAUCAUGCGUGAUGUGCCACCUGUUUUCGCGUGCAGCCUUGUGUUUUUUUUCUUUUUUUUUUUUCUCUUUUUUUUUCUAUUAAUCACGUUUACGUGAGAAGAGGUGAUUACGGAUUCGUUUUAGUGUGUCAGUGCUUUGGGAACACGUUGCAAUAUAUAGUUUGUCUCGAAAUUUAUGGACGAGUGUGAAAGUUAACCUCUUCGGAACAUUAAGGAAAAGUGGAAUUUGAGUAUUCGUAACAUUCAGUGAUAACAUUUAGUUGGAUAAUCCUCCGUAAAAUAAUACUUUUAAACUGUGAAUAUUAAUUAAUUACAUAUGUUAGAUAAUUUUGUUGUUAAUUAACGAUAUGAUUACUUGUUAUACCAUUGUUUGAAAGAAAAUUAUGCGAUUAGAAUGAGUGAAGAGAAAAAGAAAAUAGCACAAACAAAAUUAAUUAACAUAGAGAAAUUAUUUUAUUGACUUUCACGUUAUUUCUGUCCUCAAGAAACAUUAUGUAAAUAUUAUGUUACUAACAUUUGGGUGGCUGUUACAUAAAACCUAUUUCUACGCAUUAUGAGAGCAAAGUAUACACCAAAUAUCCGUUUAAUUACAUCACUCGAAAAAUAUCUUUCGAACUUUCAGAUCUUACGAAAAUUAUUAUUACUACACCAUAAUCGAGGAUAUUCCGGUUUGUCCAGAAUUUAUCUUUUACGUAAUACACAGUCGCAAAGCUUCCUCAAUCUACUCAAAUUCUACUCUCCCUUUGAAAUGAGAUCUUUUAGAAUAUUUUUUUUUUUUUUUACAGCGAAUAACCAAAAAAUAGUAGUCUUCGAAUUAGAAAUAUCACGAAUAUAAAACACCACACUCAGAAAAUUUU